UAGACGUUCACGGUGUGAGGUAACUUCGAGAGAAUUGGGGUCUAGCAUCUUUCCACGUGUAUCGCUCGUGUGUAUCACUCGUAGAACGAUGCUAGACCCGAAUCCUCUUCGAUUUAUACUCGUGAAAAGUCUG